rnacentral:RNase_P_RNA from 1 species
UAAUCAGGUCAGGCAAUUGCUGUUUACAACGUAGGCAGAGGAAAGUCCGAACUCCUUAGAGCAGAGAGCCGGGUAACACCCGGGUGCAGAGUAAAAUCUGCAACGGAAAGCGCCACAGAAAAUAUACCGCCCCGGCAACGGGGUAAGGGUGAAAAGGCGAGGUAAAAGCUCACCGCUUGAUUUGUAAAAAUCAAGGCAUGGCAAGCCCCUCCCGGAGCAAGGUCAAGCAGAAAGUAUCCGCCCCGUGCGGAAGAUGCUGCUCGCAUUAUUACUUUCGGGUAGACUGCAGGAGUUGCGGAGUAAUCCGCAUCCCAGAUAAAUAAUUGCCGCCCGCCCUGCGGGAACAGAAUUCGGCUUACAGACCUGGUUAGAAU